CCGAGCAGUCGCCAUGCGAGCGCAACAGCAGGAGCAACAACAGCUGAAUCGGGAAUAGUGAGUGGGCCAGUGUUGGGAAGUGGAAGUGUAAGUGUCAGAGUGUGGGGCAACUUCAGUGGUUUGUGUGCGCGUAUGUUGCAGGCCGAAGAAAGUGAAAUACGAAAAUAGAAAUAGAAAUAGAAAUAUCCGUAGUGCAAGCACACAAGCGAUUACAUAAAGCCCAGCUAUCAUCCCGAACAUCCAGCAACUGCAGCUAUAGGAAAAUAAACAACUGAUGGCCAAUGUUUAAAGACGCAUCGCAAAAUGUAAAGCAAUAAUCAACACAACAAAGCCAAAGCUCACAAUAGAAGUAGACGAAGCUGAGGAACGGAGCUGGGGAUACGAUCUGAGGCGAUGCCAAAUGCCAUUAUUGGAAACUGUCGUAGUCAUAAGAUUUGCAUAGCAUAGCAAUAGCAGUAGCAAUAGCAAUAGGCACAAUGAAAGCCCCCAGCGUGAUAAGCACUACGUCAACAGCAACAG